GCCCCGGUAGUUCAACGGACAGAACAUUGGCCUCCUAAGCCGAAGAUUUAGGUUCGAUUCCUGAUCGGGGCACCA
rnacentral:tRNA from 1 species